AGGACGAACGCUGGCGGCGUGCUUAACACAUGCAAGUCGAACGGUAAGGCCCCUUCGGGGGUACACGAGUGGCGAACGGGUGAGUAACACGUGGGUAAUCUGCCCUGCACUUCGGGAUAAGCCUGGGAAACUGGGUCUAAUACCGGAUGUGAACUCCUGCCGCAUGGUGGGGGUUGGAAAGUUUUUCGGUGCAGGAUGAGCCCGCGGCCUAUCAGCUUGUUGGUGGGGUAAUGGCCUACCAAGGCGACGACGGGUAGCCGGCCUGAGAGGGUGAUCGGACCGACACUGGGACUGAGACACGGCCCAGACUCCUACGGGAGGCAGCAGUGGGAAUAUGCACAAUGGCGAAAGCCUGAUGCAGCGACGCCGCGUGGGGAUGACGGUCUCGGAUUGUAAACCCCUUUGAAGUAGGGACGAAGCGACGAACGUAACGGUACCUGCAAGAAGAAGCACCGUCAACUACGUGCCAGCACG
rnacentral:rRNA from 1 species